rnacentral:rRNA from 1 species
UACGUAGGCAGCGAGCGUUGUUCGGAGUUACUGGGCGUAAAGGGUGUGUAGGCGGUUGCUUAAGUUUGGUGUGAAAUCUCCCGGCUCAACUGGGAGGGUGCGCCGAAUACUGAGUGACUCGAGUGCGGGAGAGGAGAGUGGAAUUCCUGGUGUAGCGGUGAAAUGCGUAGAUGUCAGGAGGAACACCGGCGGUGUAGACGGCUCACUGGACCGUAACUGACGCUGAGACACGAAAGCGUGGGUAGCAAACAGG